GUUGAUGUAUUCUGCUGGGAGGGCAGGAGGUGAAGAUCCCAUUGCUGUUACACCUGAGGCAGCUGGUUAAACCCCUUCAGCUGUGGAAGUUACGACGCCUCCUCCUCUGACAGGAGCAAACUCCUGAUUGAGCUGCACUUUUGUGUGCCAUCAUUAUCGUUAAGUAAGCUGCUGUCUCCCUGCCUAAUGAAGACUGAGAUCAUUCAAGCAGGACAUUAUGAAUAAGACAGGUCUGCUGAUAUAAAGAAAUACUGAACAGAUACAGUCCUGAGACCCUGGCCCUGUUUUGUUUACACCUGUUCCUGGUUUUUAACCUCGCAUGACAGGCAUCCCGCCAGGAAAUUAGCUAAAGAUAAACACCUCAGCAAGCAGAUGCCUGCUGGGGGAAAAAAGUGUGGAAGGUGGAAAACAGUAUAAGAUUUUCAAGUCAUUUCAGCAGCUAUGAGAUUUACAUCCCCAGAAAGAUCCAGGUAUUUCUUCAACUAUGACCACGUUUGGCCAUGUAGAAAAACUCAUAAAAUGCUGCUUGCACUCUAUCACCAGUAUAAAUUAUGUGGACAAACAUGGAUCAUGAGAGAAUUUUUUAUUUUACUUUUAUUUUAUUUUACUACAUCUUUAAUAGCACUCUGUAAUUAAAAUCACAGUGGAAAUUACUUAUACUAAAUCAAAUGGAUGUCUUUUAAUUAAUUAGCUGUCACACCUCUUUAGUUGUGCUUUCUUCCUUAUGUGCUCUGUGUGACCUAAUUUUCCCUCAUGUCUGAUUAUUGUCAUUUUGGCUCAGGUGUGUGCCAUUAAUUACCCUCAUCAGCCAUCCUAUUUAAGUUGUAUCCAGUUCACUGUUUGUCCGGUCUGCUAUGUCCAUACUUUGUGCUAAGUGUGUUUUGGGAUUACCCUCUUGUGGAUUAA